rnacentral:rRNA from 1 species
UACGAAGGGGGCUAGCGUUACUCGGAUUGACUGGGCGUAAAGGGCGCGUAGGCGGUUUGUACAGUCAGACGUGAAAUUCCUGGGCUCAACCUGGGGGCUGCGUUUGAUACGUGCGGACUUGAGUUCGGAAGAGGGUCGUGGAAUUCCCAGUGUAGAGGUGAAAUUCGUAGAUAUUGGGAAGAACACCGGUGGCGAAGGCGGGUCUCUGGGCCGAUACUGACGCUGAGGAGCGAAAGCGUGGGGGAGCGAACAGG